UGGGGAAUAUUGCACAAUGGGCGAAAGCCUGAUGCAGCAACGCCGCGUGAGUGAUGAAGGCCUUCGGGUUGUAAAGCUCUGUCUUUUGGGACGAUAAUGACGGUACCAAAGGAGGAAGCCCCGGCUAACUACGUGCCAGCAGCCGCGGUAAUACGUAGGGGGCAAGCGUUACUCGGAUUUACUGGGCGUAAAGCGAAUUAAGGCGGUCUUGUAAGUCAGAGGUGAAAUCCCUCAGCCUAACUGAGGAAUAGCCUUUGAUACUGCUUGACUAGAGGACAGGAGAGGAAAGUGGAAUUCCCGGUGUAGCGGUGGAAUGCGUAGAUAUCGGGAGGAACACCAGAGGCGAAGGCGGCUUUCUGGACUGGUCCUGACGCUGAUAUUCGAAAGCUAGGGGAUCAAACA
rnacentral:rRNA from 1 species